GUAGGUGGCAAGCGUUGUCCGGAUUUAUUGGGCGUAAAGCGAACGCAGGCGGGAGAACAAGUCAGCUGUGAAAGCCCUCGGCUUAACCGAGGAACGGCAACUGAAACUGUUUUUCUUGAGUGCAGAAGAGGAGAGUGGAACUCCAUGUGUAGCGGUGAAAUGCGUAGAUAUAUGGAAGAACACCAGAGGCGAAGGCGGCUCUCUGGUCUGUAACUGACGCUGAGGUUCGAAAGCAUGGGUAGCGAACAGGAUUAGAUACCCUGGUAGUCCAUGCCGUAAACGAUGAGUGCUAAGUGUUGGGAGGUUUCCGCCUCUCAGUGCUGCAGCUAACGCAUUAAGCACUCCGCCUGGGGAGUACGACCGCAAGGUUA
rnacentral:rRNA from 1 species